rnacentral:rRNA from 1 species
GACGAACGCUGGCGGCGUGCCUAAUACAUGCAAGUCGAACGCAGUGGGGACGGGGGAGUAACACGUGGCUAACCUCCCAUCAGAGGGGAUAACACUUGGAAACAGGUGCUAAACCGAUACUGAUGGAUGGACCCGCGGGGGAUUAGCUAUUGGGUGGGGUAACGGCUCACCAAGGCCACGAUGCAUCGCGGACCUGAGAGGGUGACCGGCCACACUGGGACUGAGACACGGUCCAGACUCCUACGGGAGGCAGCAGUGGGGAAUCUUGGGCAAUGGACGAAAGUCUGACCGAGCAACGCCGCGUGAGUGAAGAAGGUGUUCGGAUCGUAAAGCUCUGUUGUUAGAGAAGCGUUAGCUAAACAGAAAGCCACGGCUAACUACGUGCCAGCAGCCGCGGUAAUUC